rnacentral:rRNA from 1 species
ACGAUGAAGCCGCUUCGGUGGUGGAUUAGUGGCGAACGGGUGAGUAACACGUGGGCAAUCUGCCCUGCACUCUGGGACAAGCCCUGGAAACGGGGUCUAAUACCGGAUAUGAUCACCGGCCGCAUGGUCUGGUGGUGGAAAGCUCCGGCGGUGCAGGAUGAGCCCGCGGCCUAUCAGCUUGUUGGUGGGGUGAUGGCCUACCAAGGCGACGACGGGUAGCCGGCCUGAGAGGGCGACCGGCCACACUGGGACUGAGACACGGCCCAGACUCCUACGGGAGGCAGCAGUGGGGAAUAUUGCACAAUGGGCGCAAGCCUGAUGCAGCGACGCCGCGUGAGGGAUGACGGCCUUCGGGUUGUAAACCUCUUUCAGCAGGGAAGAAGCGCAAGUGACGGUACCUGCAGAAGAAGCACCGGCUAACUACGUGCCAGCAGCCGCGGUAAUACGUAGGGUGCGAGCGUUGUCCGGAAUUAUUGGGCGUAAAGAGCUCGUAGGCGGCCUGUCACGUCGGAUGUGAAAGCCCGGGGCUUAACCCCGGGUCUGCAUUCGAUACGGGCAGGCUAGAGUUCGGUAGGGGAGAUCGGAAUUCCUGGUGUAGCGG